rnacentral:rRNA from 1 species
AUGACGGCCGUCGUCGCCGAAGCAGACGAGGAGAGGAAAGCGCAGGCCCUCGUGCGCGACGACGCGCCUAAGCUGCUCGCCACCUUCAAGGAGAUGAAGGACGGGCUCAACCUAGUCAGGACCAAGGUCGAGUUGCUCACCCGCAAGGAAGAACCUGCUGCUGAGCUACUGCCAGGGUCUUGUCUACUACCUGCUACGCAAGGCCAAGGGGCUGUCCGUCGACAGCCACCCGUCGUGCGCAGCCUUGUCGAGAUCAGGCUGUUUCUUGAGAAGAUUCGCCCAAUAGACAAGAAGAUGGAGUACCAGAUCCAGAAGCUCACCAAUGCUGCAGAUGGUGCAGCUGCCCAGGAUAAGGUGCCAGAAGCCGAGGUCAAUGGGAAGGGCGGGCAACAAGGCGACGACGACCUGUUGGGGUACCGGCCAAACCCAGAUAUGAUGGAUAUCAAAAUUGCUCCUGAAGGGCAGGGCAAAGAUGGUAUCUACGUUCCUCCGAGAAUUGGGCCAGCUGCCAUGGAUGAUAAUCAUAGUAAAGACGCUAUAAGGAAAGAGGAAAGAUUAUUACGCAUGGCAACAGAGAAUCCUUAUUUAAGGAGAUGA